AGCUCAGUGGUCGAGCAUUGGCUUUGGAAGCCACAGGUCGGUGGUUUAAAUCCACC
rfam:Phytophthora infestans T30-4 supercont1.409 genomic scaffold, whole genome shotgun sequence.